CCCGUGCUGGGAGGUGCCCCUAAAUGGCACUUACCUAUAGCAAGGCGUCGUGAUCAAGUAUGAAGCGCAACUGAAGUGCAAUUUGAAAUCUAGUUUUUCAUGGGUUGAACCUUCAUCAUUCUGCAACAGGUCAAAGGAAAGGAGAUGAAUGGGAGCCCCGAGGCAGCGAGAGGAGGCACCACCCCCACCUCCAACCAGGCACAGACGAGGCUUUAAGGCUCAGCUCCCCUUGAUAAAGCUGGGUGGGCCUGAAGGAUCAGUGUGAGGAUGGCCAUCGUGACCAGAUUUGUGCAGCUGAGUCAAUACACACACCCAGAGCAGCCCUGUGUCAGCUAACAGAUCCAACUGCCAGCAGAGCACACCGAGUUGCCUCUCCUGUAAUUGGUUGUCCUCCUCUCCCCAGCAGACGCAUCACUUCCUAUCUGACAGUGCAGUAAAUGUCUCAGGCUGCAUUGCUCACGCUGCCAGGAAUGACAGUUCAGGACAUGCUUUAUGCAGCACUCGGGGCACUGUUGGCUCGAGAUGUCACAUGAAAAUACUUCUCACGUCACAGAAUGGGUUGGUGCAGCAGAGAUGGAAUGAGGCCUAAGAGAAGCUCUAAAGCAGUGCUUCCCACCCCCAUCAAGCUCCCCUGUGCAGUUCCAAAGGAAGCAGAAGCACGCAGUUUAAAGCUGCACUUACUUUGACUAUAAAGGACAGCGUUCCUUUUAACUUCUGAGCCAUAACAAUACUCUGAAGUGUAAACACAAACUGGGCUUCGUUAGAGAUUCCUGGCAUGAAGAAAGGAGAGGGAGAAGUCAGGUCAGGAAACUGCACCCACCUCAUCAUUAGAGCAAUCAUUAGAACAAACUCAGCAGCAGCUCAGCUCACUAUUUCUGAACCAAGCUUUAACUUCUCCACAUAACUGGAAGAGUGUGAUGUGCACAAUUCCUUCUUUGAAUUAGCAGUGUUACUGCACUAAACCCUUGGCUAUUUGGAAAGCAGCGCUCAUAUCUUCUUUCAUUUGAAACUUCACAGCAAACACCUCCUGAACUCGGGGCUCCCUCUGAUGCGGGCGUAUUUAGAGGUCUGCCAGCCUGAAAAAGGAACCCUGGCAGCUGCACUCCCAGCCCUGCACCCUGGCUUUGCAGAACCACCCGCAUUUAUAGCCGUGCUGUAAGGAGGCUUAUCCUCUACAAUGAACUGUGUGAAGGCACAGUGAAUGCCCAGGCAGAAAGACGGGCCUUCCUGGAAGGAAAAACAGCAAGCAGCUCAAACAAUUCUUUCCAGCAGAGGGCAGCGCAGGACCAGGAGUGCUCCCAGAACGCCGAGCAAGGCCAUGCAUUACCAGGGGGCAGCUGGAAGGGCACCGGUAUCCCAUCGUGCACUGAUGAUCCUUCCGGUCGGAGCAUCUUAGUGUUGAGAGAGUCCAGGACAUUGAGUUCCAUGCUCUUAAGGAAGCUAGUGCUUUUGUUCUCAAAGAUAACAGAGACGGUCACUUGGCUAUCGUUCUGCAGGUUUCCUUGGAUAUCGUAGGUCUGCAAGUGAGGAAAGAGAAAUCACAGGGGAGGUUCUGAAGCUUCGUGUAGCACAGCAACAGAACGUACCAUCAGCACACGGCAAGCUUCAAAGAGAAGUUAAUGCAGCCACAGGACUAUGAAAAGCACCGUGGCGAUCAGCCCCACAGUACUGCUAAGGAGCAGGAAGACAUUCCAGCUGCAGGACUUCUUAAAUAAAGACAACCAGAGGGGUAUAAGGCAGAGCCCUGCUAAGCAUCUGCCUCCUGGGAUCCAAAUUAUUUGCUAUCAGCUGCCUAGAUGAAGCUGCAGUGCCAUCCUCUGUUAAGAAAGAGAACAAAAGCAAUUCUCUGGAUUCGAAUGCCAAACUCACCGUUUUAAUGUAUGGGUUUUCGGCAAGGAGGCGGUAGCUGGACAUGGGCUGCGAAGAAACACAUGGCAGUCACACCACAGUAGGGCUGAUUUCACUCCCUCCCCAAAGAACAGUUCAGCUUCUGCCCUCCUCCCAAAGCUGGGCUGCCAGCACAGCUACUCACUGGUAGUGGCUCAUCAUCUAGUGUUCCAUUCUGCACAGACUCUGCCAUCUCCUCCUCGCUGUGGUGAUGCUUCUUUUUGGAUUUCUUUUUAUCCUUCGAUUUCUCUUCUUUCUCUUUCUUGUGCUUUUUCUUCUUAUGCUUGGAAGAUUUCUAAAAGAACAAUGAGAAGUUAAACAAAUCCUUAAAGAAACCCAUGCAAUCUUAGCCAUUAUGACUGCUGUGCCAACACCGACGCCCUGCAAUGGCUGCACAACCAGCAUCUCCGACCCCACAGAAACCCAGAGCAGAGCCUUCAUUCCCUGCACCCCAGCAAUCACUGUGCUGAGCGCUGUGCCCAGCCUCGCUCCCAUUGCCAGCACCAAUCCCUUAGAGCCCAAAGCAGCCUGGGAUUAGAAGGCCAAAUGUUUUCAGCUGCUUGGAAGCUCAGCUUUACAACUGCUACAGCUCUGCAUCAGUGGCCUCCACUUGGAGGAGUGGAACAGGAGACAGUGGAGAACGCAGCUGAGGGUGUCAGCCACCUGGGACUGCUUACCUUCCCUUCAUCCUCCUCCUCUUCUUCCUGCUGCUCUUCCCUUUCUUCCUUUUUUACCCCUUCAGGCUCAGAUGCAACAGCAGCACUCGUUUGAGGCCCGCUCUGAGUGGAUUAUCAGAAGGAUUAUGACACUAAUGGAACACAGUUGAAACAGCUGAAUCCCAGAAUAGAAACCGUGACAGUGACACCCACCCCUCCUUCCAAACUGUUAUCUGGAAGUUACACUACAAUAACACGGUAUCAAGGCUGGCAUCAACUUCAUGCUGCUGAAACUUGGCCAAAGAUCACUUGAGGACAGGAUAGCAAAGACUUCCUGCAGGGCAUCAGUUCCUCAUUUUCCAUCUCUCCUGCAGUCUCCCAUAGAAAUUCAUUAGUUUCUCUUUCAGACUACGUCUCUCAUCUCUGUUAAUAUUGCUGGUCUGUAGUUUACACUGAGAACUAAAACCAAAGGCUAAUAACACUGAAACUCACAGAGCCUGCAGCUGCAUCUGCGUUCACUUCCACUGACCUGCACUGCGGUGAGACUGGAACCCCCCACAGCAGUGUCCAAACUGGGGACACAGCUCCACUGCCUCACGGCAGCACAGUGGGUGGAUAAACCUAUCACCCCUUCCCUCCUGCAGUGUGACAAAGCACUGCUAUCACAGCUGAGAUGCGGCUAUAAGAAAGAUGUCCUUUGACACUGUGAUGUCUACCUGUGGCUGGGCAGCAGAGCCAGGUGGGGGAGCUGUGGAGAGCCAGAAAUCCAAAUCUUCCUCCUGAAUUCAGAGAGGAGACAGAAGUCAUCACUGUGGCUUUGACUCCUAACCGACCAGCACAAAACAAGGCAGAAGAUACGGACCAUAAGAGCCGUUCAUAAAAGAAAGCCUCAAAUUACCUUCUUCUCCUCCUCUUCUUCCUCUACUACCUUUUUCUCUUUCUCCUUCUUCUUCCCUUUGUCUUUCUCCUUUUCUUUGUGUUUCUUUUCCUUCUUUUUGGGUUUCUUGCUUUUUUUCUCUACAGGUGGAACUUCAGACUCUGGCGUCUUCAGGGCCUCAGCAUUCCUGUGUCUCUGCACUGGCAGCUUCUCACUGUCUGCUAAGGGUCUGAGAUACAAACAGAACAUCAGCCUGCUGCAAGGACAGACUCCCCUAACUCAGAUCUUCUGCUUCCAGGACAAAGUCUGGCUCUUGCUGGUUGUUUAUACUUUUGCUUUUUACAAGUUGGACCCCAAAUCUAAAUCAGCACACGCACGUGUACCAAAAGGAAGGUGUAACUGCAGACACUGCUCUCAGAUUAGAAAGCUGAGCAAUGUUCUGCAGGUGACCUGAAGCUCGUGGUAACAUCUGCUCACUCAGGAGCCAACUGUAGACCUGUGGGUAACCCUACGGAAGGGCACAGUGCGGUGUUAUCUCUGAACACAUCACUGAUCAGAAGUGGGUUGAAGCAGCAAAAUGUUUGGCAGCUGAUGCUACGAAGCUGUGCUCUGCUGUGACACGGAGGAGCUGUGCUUCACCUCAGGCGUUUGUUUCCAGAAAGCAGCACCAGCAGUUCAGAUUUACAUCAUAGCCAGAACCCAUCACUUGGGAAAAAGCACCGCAAAUUUAUUCACUCUCAAACACUGUCUAGAAGACAAAAAGUCGACUAAUUGCUUCCUUUCCUACAGCUUUUGCUUACCCAUUCAUUUUUCUACAUUUAAGCAGCAAAUAUCAGCUCAGAGGGAUAUGCAAUGGCCUCAUUACUGAAGGCCGGCAAAGCAAACACCCACACAAAUCUGAGGGUCAUUGAUUUCAACAGCUUUGUGACCCCUCACAUAUUUAUGCCAUCCACUAAAAUCAACCAAGCUGCAAUAAGAAGGUGAAGCACUCAGCAAUACAGUCUUACCUGGAAGGCUUCCCUGAAACCAGACUGCGUGUGAGCGUGACACAGACAUAGCAGUGCAAGCACAGAAGGAAAGAGAGGACACAGACAUGAGAAAACGUGACAGGAGAGCACAGUGACUCAUACGAAAUGGAAAGAGAACAGAUGAGAACAAUACAGAAGCCCAAUCAGAUUAGAACGCCAUUUCUCAACAGUGGCACUGCACUGCAGCUCCACAGAGCACACAGGUUGUCCUGCGCACAGCAGGUCUGAGAUGAACACAGAUGAACACAGAUCACGCUCAGUGCAAAUGCACACUGAAUCAAAGAGACGCCCCCAAAGGCUCAGACGUUCACUUCUGCUGGGAGCCACACAAAGUGUUUUAUCCACCCUCCCCAACCUGCCAAUAUUUUAGCAGCUUAGCUUUUAUUAUCUACGCUGCGGUGGGAACCCAACCUGAACGGCCACCUGCAGUUACAUCUAAGGAUGGAAGAGACUCAGGGCUUUCCACCCAGUGGGCUGCAGACAGAGCCUUGGUCUGCUUGGCCUCAGCUGAGCCCUCCUGCAUUCCGGUUAGCCAUUAAGUUCACAUACAAAACUUACUUAUCCAGAUCUAUAUCGAGCGCCUUGUAUGGAUCAUUGGGAUCCUUGUCAUCCUCAUCACUGGGCAAUGCAUUCUGCAGGAGACGGAAAGAGACCAUCAGCUCAAGAACAGUAGCAUAGGCAGCUUCUAGGUUAAGCUCUACACCCCCCAGAUGCAGUUUGUUGUUUUUUAAGCUUGCUAACCACAGAGCAGGGCAGCCUGCAGUCAGGCCCAGCAAGUCUUAACAACAGCACACAUUAACGCAGCGUCUCGUUCCAAGACUAAUUUAGAACAGAAAGCCAUUCUUCCCAAAUUGCAGGAUCUGAAUUGCUGCUGUUUGGUUUUGAUUAACAGAAGUUUUAGGAACAAACACAGAUCACAUCACUAGCACGUGCAAUUAAUUGCAAUCAGCUGCAAACCUGCUGACUAGACAGCAAGAUAACGUCAAAGUGAAGCAGCAGAGCAUAAUGAACAAAGCGACUAUUUGGACAACGUUACUUUUAUAGCAGAGAUGGACACUGUUCUCUUAAUAGCACAAAAAGACAACCAUUCCUCCCCCUGCAAAGCACAGCUCAGGGCUAUCUCCACAAGUCAUUUCUUAACCAGCUCUGCAGUUCUAAGGGAGAUUGCCUUCUGAAGAGCACACAGCCAGCCCACCAGCUGACCUCCGGCAUCUCUUCUGUGAUGAUAUCCACGUGGUGGGCAGGAGCAAUAUCCUCCUCACUCUCUGUGUGCAGUGAGUUAUGGCGGUGAUGUUUCCCUCUCUUCUCCUUUUUCUGCUUUUUCUUUUUCUUGUCCUUCUCCAGUUUCUGUUUGUGUCUCCGUUCUUCUUCCAGUUUCACAUACUGGUCAGACAUUGGCAUUCCUACACAAGAAGCCAAAUUGCUUUCAGUGCACGCGAUCACAGAGCCCCUUAAGAGCCUCAUGAACGUAUGCUCCUUGUACUUAAAAAUUCAGAAGUUGAUGGCAUCACUUCUGCUUAAAUUUCUGCACUUCAUUUUCAAUAUCAGUUGCACUUACCUGGAACUUUCAAGGGGACAGAAAGGUCGAUCUGGACCACGGGGAUAUGUUCCACACCUGGAGUGUCCUGGUAACGCUGGCAGAAUGAAAGUGUAUGCUGUGAGCAUUGCCAGAUCUAUAUAAAUAGGCAUUUCUGAACAGCAGGCUGUUUAAUCCCUUAAGUGAACAUUUUAAAGGAUAGGAAUGGAAUAGCUCAGUGCUAAAUCCUAUCUGGUAGCUGGCUGUAUGUUAGAGCCAACUGCUUACUGCUAUAAAAGAUGCUGCCUCGAGCUCCAGCUUUAACCCUGCUGCUGCCACAGGAAAGGCUUCCUGCAACCCUGAAGACUCUUUGGUUUGUGCUUUAUGAGUACCAAUUUGCCACUUCACGUGAAAUUUCGAGGUGUAGGUUGAGGAGAAUGGGGGCUGUCUUUGAGACACUGAAGGAAUAGAAGAACUCUCCUUGAAGGGGAUGGCUAGAAAAGCCCAUGAUGACCUUCUGAUCCACAAACAUGCAGUGUUUUAAGAGGACCAUGAAGGACAACUAUUGGCCUUAAAGCGUUAGUUCAGUCUCUCCAGCACUCUUAAUGAAGUGCCUUAUAACGUGAACCCCCAAAACGUCACCCAGAGUGGGACAAACUCCUGCAGAGAACUCUGUGACAGAAAGGCAAAGAGGAGAAGUGUCUUUGCAGCUUCUAAGGAGUCACUGCUAAAACCCAAACACUGAGCUUUCCAUGGCAAGUUAAAGACUGCUCUCUGCAAGAAGGUUCUCUGCAAUGGAAGCUGUGACAGUCAGCACUAUUUUUAAACUGGAGGUCCACUGGAAACCCACGGAGAGCUCCCUGCUCUGGUGACAUUUAGUCAUUUGUAGGCUUUUCCAACAGAAAGAAGGCUCAAAAGCAGCUGCAGGUUGUCACUCCAGGCACCGUGCUUAUGUGAUUGUAACCACAGUGAGAAUAAUCAGAAGUACCCCAAAGGAAAGCUGCAGCACCAUUAUUCAGAGAGACAUGGUAUGGGAGGCCAACAAGAGAUCGAAUCUGACUCACCUUCUGCGGGGAAGGAGAGCUUUUAAUAUAAAAGGGAUUGUUUGCCUGUUCUUGUUUCCGGGCUUCUCGACGCUAGAAGGAAAAGACAAUCUGUGGUCAGAAUGUUUGCUUACAAGCAAAGAGACAUAAAAGGCAUCCAAAUGCAAAAUGUGGUCUCCCAUAAUAUAUGGAACAUUGCCUACUUGCAAAAAUUCCACAGCACAGCAGCUUGAUUAUGACAAAACUGUUUUGAGUCGAGAGACAUACUGGGAUAUAACUUUAAGUACCGUUCUUACUGCACAGUUGUAUUACUCUGACAACAUUACUGCUAAAUUACGUGCAAAACAGCAUUUCAACAAUUCACCCACCCUGGCCAGUUCUUCUUCAUCCAUCUCUGGAUGUCGGGGCUUGGAAUGCCUUUGCUCCUCAUCAUGAAAAAUUGUUUUGGGCUUUUCAUCUUCAGACUCACUGUCCGAUGGAGGUUCGUUGAUCCACGCAUCCAGGUCCAAGCUGGUAGGAGUUGCAGUGAACACAAAUAGCUUGGUUCAGUACCCCUGAGUACUUCAGGCUUUAUAGUCAUAUCCCAGCUUUACUUUAAGGCUUAAGCAGUUUAAGUGAGGCUCUGCAUGAGAGAAGGAACCUUACCCCUCUGGAACUGGGACCUUCUUCUGUGCCUUAGGAGCCACAGGGUUCAGCUCGCCAGCAAACAGGGCUAUUACUUCCUCAGCUACAGGCACUUCUUUCACUUGUAGCUUCUGAAUAUAUUUUAUUAGUUGCAAGAUACAAGAAGCCUAAGAACAAACGCAAAAGUAGUUUCAGAACUGAUAUUAAAACACAGAACCAGAAAGUCCCACCCGCACUCCAAUGAAAGCCAGCUGAAGGUAACUGCAGUCAGGGAAUUAAGGAGGCACCAUCCCACCUCUUCCAGCUGUGCCCCCUGGAUGGCCUCACUUUGUUCUCUUACCCUCUCCUGAACUUCCAGAUCCGCGCUCUGCACGAACUGAGGCAAACGCUCAAUCAUCAGCUGGGUGAUUUCCUGAGCUGCCUCCUUCUCCCCAGCCUGCUCUUUCUGCUGCAGGAUGGACGCAUACAACUUCACCAUGUUCUGCACAUAAACCGCCUGGAUGUGGCCGGGUAGAGUAGUAACUUUAGGCCUCAGCAUGGCUUCCAAUGUUUGAUUUGCUUCUUCCAGGUGCCUAAAAAAGACAGAAUUGACAUAAGACAGCAAUGGAGAAACUUCAGCACUUUUGUCAGCCUUAAGAACUCUUCAGAGCCCUCAGCUGCAGCACAAAUAAAGACAAGUUGGACCACAUCCACCAUCAUUGCUGUCUGCAUCUUUUCUCCUUCCAAGUGGCAGCAGUAACACGAAAUGCAAGAAUAUACAACCUUAUCCUUUCAAAGAAGCAGGGAAACACCUCAGCUUCCACCUUUACAAGUGCAGUAUUCUCUCCAUUAACUAAUUACUGCACUUUUAAGUCCCGUUUGCACUGGCACUCUUGGACUAGCAGCCCCUUCUGCCAUUCUGCACUUCACUGCUCACAUCGGUGAGGUUCUAAUGAGUUACUGAUUAGACACAGUAGGCAAUGCUUACUGCACAGAACACAGUUCACUGCACCAGUGUUUGUGGUUUUAAUAAAUCCAAUAGGGUUAGACAAUGAUUAAAGAGUUCCUGCACUGUAUUAAGACUGCUCAUAUCCACAACCACGCCUGAGCAGGCAGGAAUGCAGAAGAAAGAUCAGAUGUUCAAUGCGAAGCAUCUGUCCUGACUACAGGCAACUGAGAACUGCUAUGGUAUGAAGGAGUGGGAAAGAAGCAAUCCUUUUGUUAGCAACAGUGUGCGUAUUUUGAGAGAAGAACAGCUUAGAAAUCACUUUUCAGUGGCCCGAAUCUGUGUCUGAGUGUGUCAGGCUUUGUGAUCACACACUUACUCGGAGAACUCCCCACAUAUCCAAGCAGCAGCAUACAGCACCUCGCAGAUCCCGUUCCUCUGGGUGUUGCUGGCGAUGAGAUGAGCGUUGUCCAGCAGCAUGGCCAUCUGAGAAACUGCAAAUUUACGGAUCGCUUUCACUCUGAUAGCCACAUCCAACAUCUGGGCUGCUAUCAGGUGCCCAUGCCGCGUGCCUUCCAACCGAGUCAGUUCCACCAAGAUGCUGAUGUACCUACAGGAAGUGGGAGGGACACGGUUUUGUCAUCAGGCAAUUCUGCACUGCCACUGCUGAUGGUUUCAGAGUUGACACACAGAAGACUGACCACUCAAAGUUGGUGAUGUACUGGUAAUUGGACUGACUACAGAUAUCAAUGAUUUUAGUCAGCAGCUCAUCCCGAUACGUCGUCCCUUCUGCUUUAUCCACGUGGAUCAUCAGUUUCUUCACUAUCUCCAUCAAGUUCUUCUUUGAUACCUGUUGAAGGAGUUGUUACUGAAGUGCUGACUCAAAAAUAAGAUCUUUCCUGUAACAACAAGUGCUUCUAAUUCUAUUAAAGCAGAUGCUAGCUCCUCAA